GUGCCAGCCGCCGCGGUAAUACGGAGGGUGCGAGCGUUGUUCGGAAUUAUUGGGCGUAAAGCGCACGUAGGCGGUUCGGUAAGUCUCACUGUGAAAGCCCGGGGCUCAACCCCGGGAGGCCAGGGGAUACUGUCGGACUGGAGACAGGCAGAGGCUGGUAGAAUUUCGGGUGUAGCGGUGGAAUGCGUAGAGAUCCGAAGGAAUACCGGAGGCGAAGGCGGCCAGCUGGGCCUGAUCUGACGCUGAGGUGCGAAAGCGUGGGGAGCGAACAGGAUUAGAAACCCGUGUAGUCC
rnacentral:rRNA from 1 species